rnacentral:rRNA from 2 species
CAAUGGGCKCAAGCCUGAUGCAGCCAUGCCGCGUGUGUGAAGAAGGCCUUCGGGUUGUAAAGCACUUUCAGUCGUGAGGAAGGUGGUGGUGUUAAUAGCAMKAUCAUUUGACGUUAGCGACAGAAGAAGCACCGGCUAACUCCGUGCCAGCAGCCGCGGUAAUACGGAGGGUGCGAGCGUUAAUCGGAAUUACUGGGCGUAAAGCGCAUGCAGGUGGUUUGUUAAGUCAGAUGUGAAAGCCCGGGGCUCAACCUCGGAAUAGCAUUUGAAACUGGCAGACUAGAGUACUGUAGAGGGGGGUAGAAUUUCAGGUGUAGCGGUGAAAUGCGUAGAGAUCUGAAGGAAUACCGGUGGCGAAGGCGGCCCCCUGGACAGAUACUGACACUCAGAUGCGAAAGCGUGGGGAGCAAACAGGAUUAGAUAACCCUGGUAGUCCACGCCGUAAACGAUGUCUACUUGGAGGUUGUGGCCUUGAGCCGUGGCUUUCGGAGCUAACGCGUUAAGUAGACCGCCUGGG